AGCAGCCGCGGUAAUUCCAGCUCCAAUAGCGUAUAUUAAAGUUGUUGCAGUUAAAAAGCUCGUAGUUGAAUUUCGGGAUCAAUAUGUCGGUCGUGCCUUCGGUACGUACUGGUAUCAUUGGUCUCUCCUUUCUGACGAACCAUGAUGUCAUUAAUUUGGUGUUAUGGGGAGUUAGGACUGUUACUUUGAAAAAUUAGAGUGUUUAAAGCAGGCUUUAGCUUGAAUACAUUAGCAUGGAAUAAUGAAAUAGGACGUUCGAACCUAUUUUGUUGGUUUCUAGGAUCAACGUAAUGAUUAAUAGGGAUAGUUGGGGGCAUUAGUAUUCAAUUGUCAGAGGUGAAAUUCUUGGAUUUAUUGAAGACUAACUACUGCGAAAGCAUUUGCCAAGGAUGUUUUCAUUAAUCAAGAACGAAAGUUAGGGGAUCGAAGACGAUCAGAUACCGUCGUAGUCUUAACCAUAAACUAU
rnacentral:rRNA from 1 species